rnacentral:rRNA from 1 species
AGUGAACGCUGGCGGUAGGCCUAACACAUGCAAGUCGAACGGCAGCACAGUAAGAGCUUGCUCUUACGAGUGGCGAGUGGCGGACGGGUGAGGAAUACAUCGGAAUCUACUUUUUCGUGGGGGAUAACGUAGGGAAACUUACGCUAAUACCUCAUACGACCUACGGGUGAAAGCAGGGGAUCUUCGGACCUUGCGCGAUUGAAUGAGCCGAUGUCGGAUUAGCUAGUUGGCGGGGUAAAGGCCCACCAAGGCGACGAUCCGUAGCUGGUCUGAGAGGAUGAUCGGCCACACUGGAACUGAGACACGGUCCAGACUCCUAAGGGAGGCAGCAGUGGGGAAUAUUGGACAAUGGGCGCAAGCCUGAUCCAGCCAUACCGCGUGGGUGAAGAAGGCCUUCGGGUUGUAAAGCCCUUUUGUUGGGAAAGAAAAGCAGCAGGUUAAUACCCCGCUGUUCUGACGGUACCCAAAGAAUAAGCACCGGCUAACUUCGUG